GAUGAACGCUGGCGGCGUGCCUAAUACAUGCAAGUCGAGCGAACAGACGAGGAGCUUGCUUCUUUGACGUUAGCGGCGGACGGGUGAGUAACAUGUGGGUAACCUACAUAUAAGACUGGGAUAACUUCGGGAAACCGGAGCUAAUACCGGAUAAUAUUUCGAACCGCAUGGUUCGAUAGUGAAAGAUGGCUCUGCUCUCACUUAUAGAUGGUCCUGCGCUGUUUUAGCUAGUUGGUAAGGUAACGGCUUACCAAGGCAACGAUACGUAGCCGACCUGAGAGGGUGAUCGGCCACACUGGAACUGAGACACGGUCCAGACUCCUACGGGAGGCAGCAGUAGGGAAUCUUCCGCAAUGGGCGAAAGCCUGACGGAGCGACGCCGCGUGAGUGAUGAAGGUCUUCGGGUCGUAAAACUCUGUUAUUAGGGAAGAACAAACGUGUAAGUAACUGUGCACGUCUUGACGGUACCUAAUCAGAAAGCCACGGCUAACUACGUG
rnacentral:rRNA from 1 species